UUUACUUUUCCUCCCUCCCACCAAACAGUAACCAGCUGGUGAGAAAACAUCAAUCCUCUUUUCAACAUGGGCUAGAGGUAGGGCUAGUGUGGAAGCAAGUUUUGACAUGUAGCUAAAGUGGGCUUAGACAUCAGUCAAAACUCUGGUUUUGCACAAGUGUUCUGCGUAGAUGGAGCACCUAAUUAUUUUAUCAGCUGAAGACAUAGAAAGUUGUACUGUGAAGCAGGAUAAAGAGAGGUUGAUCUCUUAAGCACUAUAUUGGUGCAGAGAUAAGUAGGCACACGACGGUUAAGUUUGAAAGAACUGGCUCCCUUCCAUAACCAAAGCAGGACUGCCCUGGAAUAUCAUGCCUAGAGAUCAGGCAAAACGAACGUUGCACCAACCUAAUGAAGUCAAUGGGUGCCAGCAUAUCCAUGCUUUGCUCCCCAGAGCAAGUGUCUAAAGACCUGAUUCUGCCAGUUGCCAUGGAGACCAGAUGGGGGAAUUCCAUGCUACAGGUGACUCCUGGAUUGAUGACAGAUUCCACCCCCACCUUUUGCUCCUGGCUUCCUGCUCUCCACCCAUCCAUCUUUUUGUUAUCAUGUCGAUGUAUUAUCGUGUUCUUUUCAUUGUUUAUUUUAUUCUAUUAUUUUACUUCUGUUUAUACUUUAUUCAUUUCUUUUUAUUGUUGUAAGCUGCCCAGAGUAGCCCCAUGGUAAGAUAGGUGGCAAAUAAAUUUAACAAAUAAAAUAUUAUAGCAACCA